rnacentral:tRNA from 1 species
CAGGGAGACAACAAAAUGUUUAAUAUUAUUAUUUUGUCACCUUAGGUCGAUCGGUAUCUCACGUUCUUAAUUUGUUAAGAAUUUCAUUUCCUAAGUUUUUCUAGGUCACACCCAUUAUUUUUCCUGGGCCAUUAGCUCAGGUGGUUAGAGCGCACCCCUGAUAAGGGUGAGGUCCCUGGUUCAAGUCCAGGAUGGCCCAUAUCUCUAUGUUGGGGGUAUAGCUCAGUUGGUAGAGCGCCUGCUUUGCAAGCAGGAUGUCAGCGGUUCGAGUCCGCUUACCUCCACUGAUUACCACCUCUUCCAUAACCGGUAGAAAGGAAAUGUUUUGAGUUGUGAUCAUUAUUCUGAACGAAUCUAGCUUCCUAAUGAAAUCAUUAAGAUGCUGGACUCAUUGAAUUAAUUUCAUUGUUUUCAGAGAACCUUGACAACUGCAUAGAUUUUUUUAAAGACAAUAAGCAUCUUUAAUGAUGCAGAUUUAUUAUUUGUGCGAAUGCAUUAAUAACAAUUCUAUUAAGCUGAUGCUUCAA